GGUGAACGCUGGCGGCAUGCUUAAGACAUGCAAGUCGAACGGCAGUCUUCGGACUGUAGUGGCGCACGGGUGAGUAACGCGUAACAGACCUACCCCAAAGUCGCGGAUAACGAUUCGAAAGAAUCGCUAAUACGUGAUGUGCUGUCAGAUUGUGUUCUGCCAGUAAAGAUUGAUUGCUUUGGGAUGGGGUUGCGUUCCAUCAGCUAGUUGGUGGGGUAAAGGCCCACCAAGGCGACGACGGAUAGCCGGCCUGAGAGGGUGGCCGGCCACAGGGGCACUGAGACACGGGUCCCACUCCUACGGGAGGCAGCAGUUAGGAAUCUUCCACAAUGGGCGAAAGCCUGAUGGAGCGACGCCGCGUGAGGGAUGAAGGUCUUCGGAUCGUAAACCUCUGAAUCAGGGACGAAAGACACUUCGGUGGGAUGACGGUACCUGAGUAAUAGCACCGGCUAACUCCGUGCCAGCCGCCGCGGUAACAC
rnacentral:rRNA from 1 species